AUAUGGCAGAAUACUUCUUCCAUAAAGUGAAGAUUCAUUAUUCACUUUUUUUUCAUGUUUGUCCCUCUAUUUUCCAUUCACAUUUUAUCAACAAAACCCUACAAUUACCACUAGACAUUAAUUUGUUCAUCCUUAAUAUAUAAGAGGUCUCAAGUUUAAAUCGUGUCCUUGUAGAGGACAAUUUCCCUUUAAUUGCCCUUACACUGCUAAUCUGAUCAAUUCGUUGUGGCCCAACACGAAUACUAAACUCUAAGGAAAACAAGAAAAGAAGUAUGAAUUGUACCAAGUUAAACUAGGAUACUAGCAAAAAUGUGAUUGAUCGACAUG
rnacentral:lncRNA from 1 species